rnacentral:rRNA from 2 species
UACGGAGGGUGCAAGCGUUAUCCGGAUUUACUGGGUUUAAAGGGUGUGUAGGCGGGCCUUUAAGUCUGGGGUGAAAUCUCCGAGCUCAACUCGGAAACUGCCCUGGAUACUAUUGGUCUUGAAUUAUGUUGAGGUUGGCGGAAUAUAACAUGUAGCGGUGAAAUGCAUAGAUAUGUUAUAGAACACCGAUUGCGAAGGCAGCUAACUAAGCAUAUAUUGACGCUGAGGCACGAAAGCGUGGGGAUCAAACAGG